GAAACUGGACCUGCUAUCAGAGCAGGGAGCCCUGAUCUCUGGAUAAUCAUUAAAACUCAGGCCCAGACAAGUUAGAGAGCAGGCCAGGAAAACAGGAGCAGGAAGAAUUGGGAGCAGAUUUUAUAAAGAAUGGAGGACCAAAAGCAAAGCUGCCCUCCAUCCCGGAAGAGUCCGAAGGACCUUCUACAAAAUGAGGGACUCACGUGGCCUCAGACUCGCUCUCUAGCCAAGGGUAACCUCUAACUUGCUGAGCCUCUAGGAAGACCACAGCAGAUACCCAAGCUCUCUGCAAAAGCUCCUCAAAUUCCAAUCUCUUCUGGACCCUUCAAGUGCUGGGAUUGCAGAUUGGAGACUAGAGGCACAGGCAUGUAGAAUAUUCUGGUAAAUAACUCGAUGUCAAUGCCUUUGCUCAAAACUGGAGCCGCUGGCACCUCACUGCAGGAAUGGUGAGAGGAAGUGGACUCUCCCACUUUGAGGUUGUGUCCUGAAUAGACUAACAUGUAGCAUCCUGCACCAUGUCCCUCACCAGCCUCUGCAGAGCAACUUAACAGCAAGAAAAACAAAACCAGAGGAAGGGGUGAGAGAAAAAAAAGCAAAUGGGGAACUGAAAAAUUAUUGAAGGGCUGGUGAGGUGACUCAGUGGAAAAAGGAGCUUGCUGUCAAGUCUGAAGACCAGAGUUCAAUUCCCAGGACCCACCUGGUGGAAGUUGUCUUCAAACUGCCCCAUGAAUAUUCAAACACAAGCAUGUAUAUUCAUACAAAAUAAAUAAAUAUAAUUUAAAAAAAUAAACGGCUGAAAAGUAAACAGUAUUGACUUGGAAA
rnacentral:lncRNA from 1 species